rnacentral:rRNA from 1 species
ACGCUCGACACCUACGGAGGCAGCAGUGGGGAAUAUUGCACAAUGGGGGAAACCCUGAUGCAGCGACGCCGCGUGAGCGAAGAAGUAUUUCGGUAUGUAAAGCUCUAUCAGCAGGGAAGAAGAAAGACGGUACCUGACUAAGAAGCCCCGGCUAACUACGUGCCUGCAGCCGCGGUAAUCUGAGCGGGCUGGCAAGGC